CUUUGGGAGUCUGGGGAUCUGAGACUACUGUGCGUCUGGGUAAGGCGUGCCCUGGAGGCAGCCCAGCUGUAGCAAUUCAUUGGAGUCUACACUGUGCCUUUUUCUAUGUCCUUCUGGCCAGCACUGUCACCAGCUUGAUGCCCAUGGACUUGCUUCCUCCUGUAGCAUCAGCUGGUGUUUUCUGAUGACACCACAUCCUCUUACCCCAGCAGGAUUUUUGUUCCCACUGUCUGACUGUAGCUGGGAAGGAGAUCUUCAGGCAGCAGGCAAAGGAGCCUCACUGCAGAAAUGACACGAGAGGAUGAUGUGGUGGCCUUAAUAGCAGCAGGAAGACUCAGCAACACAUCAUGGAGCUGUCUGAGGGACAGAGCACACACUGAGAUGCCUUUGUCCCAGCACUGCCUUGUGAUGCCCCUGCAGACAAACCUGACCAAGCCACUUAAAGCUACCUGUGAUGGAACUUGGCCUUUGUGUCGAGCUCAUAGCACCUUUGCCUUCCUUCUGCAUGAGCAAACAGCCCUUGAGCAAUUUCAAACCGUGCAAGUGAGAGCAGCAAGUGCAGCUGGACCCUGAGCGCCACAGCCAGUUUCAAGGAUGCUUGUGGAAAGAGCAGUUAGAAAUGUCAGUGAAGGGGCAGAGGGGAUGCACAGCAUCUGAGGGUGCUGGGCUGGCUGUGUGAUGUCCUGCUCAGCACAGAAAGCUUCCAAGGGAGCAGUUUUGAUGCUGAGAUAGCUGAAACCCUGCACAACGCAGUGAUAUGGUGCUUUUCUCCAGGUCUUACAGCAGCUGCCCAGAUCUUCACACUCACCUCUAUUUUCAGAGGAAGGUAACAGUCAAUGAAGCAAUCCUCUGAGAUUCAGCUGUAAUCCAGAAGUCUAUGCUUGCCCCUCUUGCCAAGUACACACCACAUUCCCAGCACAACAGAUAGUGAAUCCUCAUAAUGAUUAGUUGGGAAAAGUUUAUUCUGAAGAUAUAUGAUGGUGCUUUUGAGUUUGCGUUGUCAAAUGUGAACCGACCUCCAGCAGAGUUGCAGAAUGCCCCUGAUCUGUGUGGAACAGGUAUGUCUGAGGUUGUGGUUUUCUGUUACACUGAGAAUUAAAGCACAAAUUAAGCUGGGUGAUGGUGCAUUUAAGCUGUGGUUUUCAUUUAUUUCUGACGAGUAUGAGGUCACAAAAUGAGAAAAACCAACACAAAGCUCGCUUGUUUUCAUGUUUUAUUGAACAGUGCUCCACCUGCCAGUUCUGCACCAGUCCUGUGUGUGAACCACAGCGCUGACCCAUUAGGCUGCACAAACCAGCUUCAGGCUCCUGCCAGGAAGGCUGAGCCUAAGGCAGAUGAACAUUGCUGUGCAUCAGGCUGUCUUCUGAUGAGCUGGCUGUGGGGCUGCUCUUAGAGGAGAGGAGGAGUUUUCAGAAUGCUUCCUACUCUUCACUGAAACAGCUUCUUUCAGGUCUGCCUAUGCCACUGUUGUGAGGUAAGCUAGCUGUGAACACACCAGGUUUGGUCCUCACGGCUGCACUGUGCCCUUUGGAAAAUAUUAAGACAGCUUGUGCAGCUCCCACUUCUUGCUGCUGACUUGGAGACAGCCUGUGCUGCCCUAAAGCUGCCCUGCUCUUGUCCUCAACCACUCAUCAGCUUUCCCCUGAAAACCAAGUGUGUGCCCACACUUGUGCAGGCUGAGGAGCUGCCGUCAAACAGCACAAAGUAGUAUAGUGGAGUCAGUAACCUCUACUGUACUCAGUACUGAGCUGAUGGUUGGAGCUAAAAAAAAAUAUGCAAUGGUUUAAUGAGGGGGUGCUGCAAAUUAGUGUAGCAUCAACAAAGGGCUCCGAAGCUGAUUUACCCCUUGCAACUUUUUGGUGUGCUGUCAGGUCAAAGCUGUUGAACCUAGAGCAGAUUUUCCAGUUCAGUAGAUGUAGUGGAUGUCAAGCUACGAGAAGCAGUAACAAGUGCCUCAAAUUAUCCAGGUUCUAGAAAGCUUGUAAAACAAAAGCCUGUACAUAUCCUGUAGACAGGUAACAGGCUGAACACUGAGAGAACUCAGUGAGAUACGUUGCUGUUUUUAUUCUGCUGCUGCUGAUCUGCUAUAACAUCCAUAUAAUAUCCAUGUUUUUAAAUAUGAGAUUGCAAAAUGAAUUUUCAAAGCUAAAUAGGAGCUCCCACACCAGUAUGCAUCCUGCUUACUAUUAAAUUACAAUUUUCCAUGACAUGACCAAUGGACUUUGCAAGGUUUAGCAUAAGGCAGCAAAUAAGCACAAAAGCGAGUGGAUUAUUCGUCUGGCACUGGCAGAGAUGCACAAAAGAGCUAUGCGUAAUUACCUUCACCUAUAAAGCAGACAGGUGUAAAUUCAGACCAAGGCUGAACAAGACCACGUCAGUUCCAGCUGCUCUGCUUGCAAUCUGACAUCAAAAAAAGGAGAGAUCCCACAGCACAUCACAUUCACUUCUUAUGGAGCAGCCCAGCUCUUGAACUACCUACUCCCUGCAUGGGCAGAAAGAGAAAGUUUCAAAGCACAUUGAAGGGCAGUAGUCUCAGUGUUUUAUCUUUUGUUUUCCAAGGUCAACUUCCUGUAACUGUUUGGCAGCACCAGAACAAACAAAUUAAACAGGCAAAGUUACAUUCAAUAGAAAACUUUCUCCCAGGAAAUGGGAUACAGAAAAUAGCAAAACUUUAUAGCACACAAAAUACUGUACAUAUUUCCCUUCUCCUUGCUGCAGCCCUGUGCUUUCAGGAGACACCAGCAAAACCUGCACCUUGUUAUUUAAA